GUUCCCUUCUCUUUGAGCGAACUUUCUCAAAUAGAAAGCAGACUGGGUUCUUAUACCUCUAACCCCUCUAACUUUAUUAAAGAAUUUCAGUACAUUACUCAAUCUUACAACUUGACUUUUCAUGAUGUCUAUAUGAUUCUUACUAACAAUUUACUUCCUGAUGAACGCAGGCGAGUUUGGGAAGAGGCAAAAACGCAUGCAGAUGAAAUUCACCAGACAGACGGCAGCUAUCCAAUUGGAUCUGAGGCAGUGCCUGACCAAGACCCGCUAUGGGAUUAUAAUUCCUCGGCUGGUAUUUUAGCCAGAGACAGCUAUCCCGACAUAAGAGCUAAACUUAGACGCUUGGAGAGAGGACCCCUGACUCCACAGGCGGAAGUCUUGGCGCUGGCCUUCAAGGUAUACCAUGAGAGAGAUGAAAAAGCCCGAAAACAAAAGUACCACAUGCUGGCAAAAGCUGUCCGACCAGCUCCAGCUAUCGCCCCGGGCUCCGAGCCUUCCAAGGCUCAGGAACCACCAGCUCCCUGCUACAGGUGUGGUCAAUCAGGUCACUGGGCAAGGACUUGCCCCAACCCCCGCAAGCCAAGGGGACCAUGUCCUAAAUGUCAUCGUGAGGGCCACUGGGCGGUCGACUGUCCCCAUGUUACACAGAACAGAAGGCCAUCCCGCCCAGAAACCCCUCCUACUGACCUCCUAGGCUUGGCUAUGGAUAAAUGAAGGGGCCGGAGCUCCCUCAACCCGACCUCGCCCAUCACUAGCAGGGAGCCCCGGGUAACUAUCGUGGUAUGUGGAAAGCCCAUCUCUUUCCUUCUGGAUACCGGGGCCACUUACUCAGUCCUGGUGGAAUUUUGGGGCUCCACUUCACCCUCGCGUCUUCCCAUAGUCGGGAUAGGAGGACAGCCUUACCUUCCUCAUCAGACCCCACCACUUAGCUGUACUUUUAGAAAUAUACCCUUCACCCAUUCCUUUUUGGUAGUGCCAACCUCUCCCGUCCCUUUAUUAGGAAGGGAUCUUUUAGUUAAGUUGGGAGCUUCAAUUUCUUUUGCUCCCCCCACUCGCCUGAACCCGAGCUCGCCAGCAGUUCCCCUACUUCUCCUUCUAGCCAAUCAACCUACUAACACUAACAUGUUAUUUCCUCUACCAGCUUCUCAGGUGGACCCCAGAGUUUGGGACGUCCAGAACCCCUCUGUUGCUAAACAUCAUUCUCCCGUUGUCAUCCAGUUACUGGACCCUACCAGGACCUUGCUCUAUCAAGCUCCGGAGGACAUCGGGACCACCCACCUUGUCCCCAAUUCCAGAACAUGAGACUCCACUCCGGCAGCCGAGCUCGACCUCAUUGGAUUAGACAUGGGUUUCUUGUCCUACCCCUGCUGUUCUUCAUUUCCAUCCAGGGCAGUCCUUACAUUUGGAGAUUCGAGGUUCAAGAAACCCCCACAGAUAACAAACAGUCUUUCCAAAUAGGGUCAGGAAACUGCUCCAUAGCCGGAUGUCAGGUACCGAUCCAAAUCGCGAUCAUCCCUGUAUCUGUUAUCCCAUCUAAGUAUUAUGAUCUCUAUACUUGCUUUCUCUUUGACCAGACAGAAGAUUACUGUAAAAAAUGGCCAGACGAAUAUGGGGGCUGCCCAUAUUGGUCUUGUCAGAUACAUAUGCUAGGAUCACGGGUCAAUCAUUUCUUCUUUCAACACCGCAAGACGCUUUUCUUCCACAUACAAGACCCGUGGGAUUCCAGGUGGGAAACAGGAGUCGUUGGUAAGCUCUAUCGUAAAAACCAGCCCAGUUCCCCAAUAAGUACCAUCCAUAUUCAGAGAAAGUAUAUCUCAAUCGCCCAACCCCUAGAUAUUGGAAAAGUGGGGGAGAUAAUUAAACACUCCUCUAAGGUCCUUGAUUCUUUAACAGCAC